AAGUGGUUAGUUUAAUAAAAACAUUUGAUUUCGGCUCAAGCGCUUAUGGUUAGACCCCAUAACCACCUA
rnacentral:tRNA from 1 species